GACAGAAGGAGAGACCAACGCAGAAGUGAAAGUUUAUUAAAAACCUUUAAGACAGGAAUGACAGGAAGUACAGUAUGCAUGGAAGAGGGCCAAGCAGCUACCUGAAAGAUCAAUGCGCAUGCCUGAGCCCACUCACCACCCACCUCCUGAGAUCUUAUCCUGAAGCUGCCGAUCACCAGUAUCACGUGUUUCUAUCUAUUAAGAGACAGCCUUUCCCUGGCACCAGCUGUGACCAAUUAUUAUUUUAGUGACACAGUUAACGACUGCCUGCCCAUCACCUUAUGGACAUCUGACAAUUCCUGGUGUGUUUGUGUUGGAAAGCCCUCUCCUGCCCGGUUCAUGCCUGAUGAGCUACCUACAAUAACAUCUACAGCUAAAGCUGGAACAAUUUGAGCAACA
rnacentral:lncRNA from 10 species